UGAACGCUAGCGGGAUGCCUUACACAUGCAAGUCGAACGGCAGCACGGACUUCGGUCUGGUGGCGAGUGGCGAACGGGUGAGUAAUGUAUCGGAACGUGCCCAGUAGCGGGGGAUAACUACGCGAAAGCGUAGCUAAUACCGCAUACGCCCUACGGGGGAAAGCAGGGGAUCGCAAGACCUUGCACUAUUGGAGCGGCCGAUAUCGGAUUAGCUAGUUGGUGGGGUAACGGCUCACCAAGGCGACGAUCCGUAGCUGGUUUGAGAGGACGACCAGCCACACUGGGACUGAGACACGGCCCAGACUCCUACGGGAGGCAGCAGUGGGGAAUUUUGGACAAUGGGGGAAACCCUGAUCCAGCCAUCCCGCGUGUGCGAUGAAGGCCUUCGGGUUGUAAAGCACUUUUGGCAGGAAAGAAACGUCGCGGGUUAAUACCCCGCGAAAC
rnacentral:rRNA from 1 species